AGCCCCCGGGCAUGUUGGCUUAUUCGUACUACUACGGCUAUCUGAAUCUGGUUCUAAGAAGCUUGGGUGGUAGAGUGUCAAAGAGUCAGGGCGGGAAAUGGAAGGACAUGCCGAUAAA